GGGUCGCUUUUGCCAGCGGCCAACGCGCUGGGAUCGCGCGGGGAAAACGAGGAAGAGGACUCGAUAAGUUUGCAUGAACACGCAUCUCCGUAGACGACGCCGUCGGGAGUGUGCGUCGAGGCGACGGCAUCGACGAACAAAGCGAGCGAGGGAAGAAACGGAGACACCGGGCGAGGAAUGUCAUCGUCGUCGUCGUCGUCGUUCUCGUCGUCGAUUCGAUUUAGCUUCAACAGCCCCAUCGAUAUUCCUUCGCGACGCUUCCCUCGAUGAUACAUGUGCUUAUGAUGCACACGCACGAAUGUGAACGUGCGAGCGCACGUUCGGGGUGAGACGGGGAAGAAAUAAUGCGCGGAGGAAUGAUGGGGGAGAAAUGAUUGUCGAGGAGGUUUCUGUUCAGGCGUCAAGUCGUAACGGGAAAGGAAGAAAAUGUAUAGACCUGAAGGUUCUCCGCGUGUAAGAUAGGUGCGUUGCCUGAAAGAAAAGACUGAAACCGAGGAAAGAUGCAAUGAUUAGAUGAGCAGAUUGGUGAUCCACAUUGUGGGGGUUGAAGGCUCGAGCAAUUCUUGAAUGAGGGUGAAUUGUGUCGGCGCUGAAGAGAGUCGGCGAAGCCAGGAAUCAAUUGAAAUAUUCGUUAUGAUCACAGUGAGCUACGGUUAAACGUCAGACUUGAAUAUAUCGAGACUCAUUCUUCUCGCAAUCGAGCGAGUUAGCGAACAAUGACCCGCAAUUCAGCGUCAUUCAAGUUUCUACGACUUCUUCUACGUGGCGUAAAGUUGUACACCAAACUUCUUUCUCAGUCUUCAUCAAUGAUCGACAAAAUGGCAACAUUCUCAGAGAACAGCAAAAUACAGCUUGGGGAAAAA